rfam:Actinoalloteichus hoggarensis strain DSM 45943 chromosome, complete genome.
CGGUUCGGAUGCUGUGAGGCCUCGGUCCGCUCGGUCCACGGUCCUGGCACACCUUCCCCGGUGUCAGGGCAGACGGGCGGGCGGGGACCUGACGGUAUCCGCCCUGGUGA